rnacentral:lncRNA from 1 species
CUUUCCUUUUUCUUAGUUGUCAUAGUAAGUAGUAACUAAACGUAGCGAGCAUAUAAACCAACUGAUCCUUUUAUAUCCACACCGCAGCGUCAAUAAAUUGAUAAGAAUAAACAUCAGCUCCACAAAAACUAAUGGCUGCUCUUGCUUCAUCCUCUCUUCUCCAUUCUUCUUUCAUCUUUCAACUCUAUUUCAACUUCAUCAUUCUCCCCUCUUCCCCAAAUCUCUC